UGGGAGCAUAACUCAGUGGUAGAGUGUGUGUCUUACAAGCACGA
rnacentral:tRNA from 1 species